AUAAGUGACCAGAACAUGUUGGGAAGCAUGGCCAUAGCGGGUGACAGCCCCGUAUGGGAAGCUUUGAAGGACGUAUCAAGUAGGGCGGGACACGUGAAAUCCUGUCUGAACAUCGGAGGACCACCUUCGAAGGCUAAGUACUCCUUACUGACCGAUAGCGAACCAGUACCGUGAGGGAAAGGUGAAAAGCACCCCGACGAGGGGAGUGAAACAGUACCUGAAACCGAACGCCUACAAUCAGUCGGAGCUUGACU
rnacentral:rRNA from 1 species